rnacentral:rRNA from 1 species
UACGUAGGGGGCAAGCGUUGUCCGGAAUUAUUGGGCGUAAAGCGCGCGCAGGCGGUUUCUUAAGUCUGAUGUGAAAGCCCACGGCUUAACCGUGGAAGGUCAUUGGAAACUGGGAGACUUGAGUGCAGAAGAGAAGAGCGGAAUUCCACGUGUAGCGGUGAAAUGCGUAGAGAUGUGGAGGAACACCAGUGGCGAAGGCGGCUCUUUGGUCUGUAACUGACGCUGAGGCGCGAAAGCGUGGGGAUCAAACAGG